GAGGCGACAUCGAUCAUAGUAAUCGGGCUGCACUCAUGUUGUGUUGUAACUAUCUGGAACCAUUGUUUAGGACAUGAUGUACCGUUGGAUUCUGCUCUGAGCCGAAAGGACCGAGACAGAAGG
rfam:Paenibacillus sp. IHBB 10380, complete genome.